AACGAACGCUGGCGGCAUGCCUAACACAUGCCAGUCGAACGAGACCUUCGGGUCUAGUGGCGCACGUGUGCGUAACGCGUGGUAACCUGCCCUUAGGUUCGGAAUCACUCCCCGAAAGGGGUGCUAAUACCGGAUAAUCUCUUCGGACCAAAGAUUUAUCGCCUUGGGAUGGGCCCGCGUUGGAUUAGCUAGUUGGUAGUGUAAAAGCCUACCAAGGCCACGAUGCAUAGCUGGUCGGAGAGGAGGAUCAGCCACACUGGGACUGAGACACGGCCCAGACUGGGACGGGAGGGAGGAGAGGGGAAUAUUGGAGAAGGGGGGAAAGCCUGAUCCAGCAAUGCGGGGUGAGAGAUGAAGGCGGUAGUGUUGUAAAGCUGUUUUAGACGGGAUGAUAAUGACAGUACCGGGAGAAUAAGCACCGGCUAACUCCGUG
rnacentral:rRNA from 1 species